rnacentral:rRNA from 1 species
AUUGAACGCUGGCGGCAGGCCUAACACAUGCAAGUCGAGCGGAUGAAGGGAGCUUGCUCCUGGAUUCAGCGGCGGACGGGUGAGUAAUGCCUAGGAAUCUGCCUGGUAGUGGGGGAUAACGUCCGGAAACGGGCGCUAAUACCGCAUACGUCCUGAGGGAGAAAGUGGGGGAUCUUCGGACCUCACGCUAUCAGAUGAGCCUAGGUCGGAUUAGCUAGUUGGUGGGGUAAAGGCCUACCAAGGCGACGAUCCGUAACUGGUCUGAGAGGAUGAUCAGUCACACUGGAACUGAGACACGGUCCAGACUCCUACGGGAGGCAGCAGUGGGGAAUAUUGGACAAUGGGCGAAAGCCUGAUCCAGCCAUGCCGCGUGUGUGAAGAAGGUCUUCGGAUUGUAAAGCACUUUUAGUUGGGAAGAAGGGCAGUAAGUUAAUACCUUGCUGUUUUGACGUUACCAACAGAAUAAGCACCGGCUAACUUCGUG